GGGGCUGUAGCUCAGUGGCAGAGCGCUUGCCUAGAGUGCGUGAGGCACUGGGUUCGAUCCUCAGCACCA
rfam:Ictidomys tridecemlineatus contig029971, whole genome shotgun sequence.